GGAUGUGAGUAACUCCCAGACACUUCCCACUAUCUUUCAGUGGGCUCCCACUGACGUUACUGGUAUCCUGUGGUGAGAGAAUAGGACCAAUAUUUUUAGAUGUGGUGCUGGCUGUUCUCUCUGGACUCCUUGCAGCACCGGUGUAUUUUUAGCGGCUCGUUAUACGCAGUGGAGGAGCCUUUGCGUCGUGUUGUGUCACACGCAGCGUGUGAACUUCCUGUCCCUGCUCCUCCACGCCUUUGAUCCUGCCCAUCCAGCCACCACAGCAGCAGAGCUGUCACACCAGCCAUGGCCAUUUCUUCCUUAAUAGGACUUUCCAGGUGGCAACCCCAAUGAAAGGGAGGCGGAAAAACCAGAGCUGUGCACCAGCCAGUGAUGGGAAUGGAAACAUCUCUGUGUUCCUUCCAAAUGUGAUCUCCAGACCAGCCCUGCUUCAUGCUGCUCCUUCAGGCAGCACUACUUUGGAAAGCAUUUCACAGCUCCAACUGUUUUCCCUAUGCUCAGGAGAGAUUCCUGCUCUCAGCUGUGUAAAUGUUUUAACUGAGAUUCAUGCUUGGCUAUUCAGGUCACUGCUUUCUCUUCCGGCCCACACAGGCCAAAAUGCAUCUCUAUAAGCACAAAGUGUCCAAAACCAACACAGUAUUUUUCACUUGAACACACCCAUGGCACGUGGCUCCCUCAGAGUACAGGAUACAAUGCUAAGCAGUAGAUUUCUACAUUUGCCUGAUGUGAACUUAGCAUGAUUUAUAAAAAAAGAGGCAAUAGGCCGGUUGUGUGCCCGAGCAAAUCUGGCUUGGCAGAAACUAUCAUUCCAAGGAAGGGACUCAAGGAAAUCAAACUCUCCCUCUGGUCUUGAGAAAGGACUUAUCUAAUGUAGGAAGUGUUCUCAAAAUAUUUAGUUUGUAUUAAGAAUUACAAUGUAUUUCUUUCUGAAUUCAAGUAACCCUCAAUCUCCUUUGCUGGAAGAAUAAAAUAAAUUUCUUUCUGCU